GAUGAACGCUGGCGGCGUGCCUAAUACAUGCAAGUCGAGCGAACAGACGAGGAGCUUGCUCCUUCGACGUUAGCGGCGGACGGGUGAGUAACACGUAGGUAACCUACCUAUAAGACUGGGAUAACUUCGGGAAACCGGAGCUAAUACCGGAUAAUAUUUCGAACCGCAUGGUUCGAUAGUGAAAGAUGGCUUUGCUAUCACUUAUAGAUGGACCUGCGCCGUAUUAGCUAGUUGGUAAGGUAACGGCUUACCAAGGCAACGAUACGUAGCCGACCUGAGAGGGUGAGCGGCCACACUGGAACUGAGCCACGGUCCAGACUCCUACGGGAGGCAGCAGUAGGGAAUCUUCCGCAAUGGGCGAAAGCCUGACGGAGCAACGCCGCGUGAGUGAUGAAGGUCUUCGGAUCGUAAAACUCUGUUAUUAGGGAAGAACAAACGUGUAAGUAACUGUGCACGUCUUGACGGUACCUAAUCAGAAAGCCACGGCUAACUACGUG
rnacentral:rRNA from 1 species